CCUACGGGUGGCAGCAGUGGGGAAUAUUGGACAAUGGGCGAAAGCCUGAUCCAGCCAUGCCGCGUGUGUGAAGAAGGCCUUCGGGUUGUAAAGCACUUUCAGUGGGGAAGAAAGCCUUGGGGCUAAUACCCUCGAGGAAGGACAUCACCCACAGAAGAAGCACCGGCUAACUCCGUGCCAGCAGCCGCGGUAAUACGGAGGGUGCGAGCGUUAAUCGGAAUUACUGGGCGUAAAGCGCGCGUAGGCGGUCUGAUAAGCCGGUUGUGAAAGCCCCGGGCUCAACCUGGGAACGGCAUCCGGAACUGUCAGGCUAGAGUGCAGGAGAGGAAGGUAGAAUUCCCGGUGUAGCGGUGAAAUGCGUAGAGAUCGGGAGGAAUACCAGUGGCGAAGGCGGCCUUCAGGACUGACACUGACGCUGAGGUGCGAAAGCGUGGGUAGCAAACAGGAUUAGAUACCCUUGUAGUC
rnacentral:rRNA from 1 species